rnacentral:rRNA from 1 species
UACGUAGGCAGCGAGCGUUGUUCGGAGUUACUGGGCGUAAAGCGUGCGUAGGCGGUUUUGUAAGUUUGGUGUGAAAUCUCCCGGCUCAACUGGGAGGGUGCGCCGAAAACUGCAAGGCUGGAGUGUGGGAGAGGUAGGCGGAAUUCCUGGUGUAGCGGUGAAAUGCGUAGAUAUCAGGAGGAACACCCAUGGCGAAGGCAGCUUCCUGGGUCGGCCCUGACGCUGAGGCGCGAAAGCGUGGGGAGCGAACGGGG